CCCGCUGCUACGCUUGCGCCGCUGCUCCCGGCUUUCGGCCCCAGCACGGGCGACGCGGGGUCCGCGGUGUAGAGUCGGCCAGCCCCGGACCCGCGUCCCGCACCCUGACGGUCCCGGGAGGCUGAGGUGUGGAGGAGUCCUGUACUAGAAGUUCUGGUGAUGUUGAGAGGUCUGCAAGCUAGGGGACACUCACACUGGUCAGUGUGCUGCUCUGGAGCAGGGGUUGCUGGUCAGCAGGGGACAGGAGCAGCUGGAUGAACUUCUGGAUCUUCUGGGGCAGGCCCCAGCAACGGUGAAUCAACCUACUAAAUCAACCACUUCUCAAGUACACCUUCGGAGCGGCUCUUCCUCUUGUCCUGCUGAAUCACAGGAGCCCUAGGCUCCUCAAGGCUUGAAGAAGACAGAACUCCUGCAUGCCAGGGAACAUCUGGCACUUGAAAUCCCUUCUUUCGCUGGAGGCGUUCAACCUGGUGAUCUGGGAUGCUGACACUGACUGACUGGGCAGCUGACUGUGGCUUUCAAGGACUUGGCACCUAAUGCCCCCAAAUUCUAGACCUUGUCAUCUCUGCCUCACAGAAGAUGGAACCAGAUCACCAGACUACAUCACAAAGCUCUCCUAUUUCAAAAGGCAUGCAGAGCAUCACAGGGUUUUCCAGCAGAAGGGCAGAACAUGGAGACCUCUCCAUUAAAAGAAGAACCAGG